GGGGGGGGGGGGGGGGGGGGGGGGGGCGGGCGGGGCGGGGGGGGGGGGCGGGCUUGUGUGGGGUGCUCGAGUGGCGGGCGGGUGGGGAACACGUGAGUCACCUGCCCUGGACGUUGGGAGGACUUCAGGAAACUGGGGUUAAUACCGGAGAGGAGCUCCGGCUGCAUGGGGGGGGUUGGACAGUUUCGGCGGUUGGGGAUGGACUCGCGGCUGAUCAGCUUGUUGGUGGGGUAGUGGCUUACCAAGGCUUUGACGGGUAGCCGGCCUGAGAGGGUGACCGGCCACAUUGGGACUGAGAUACGGCCCAGACUCCUACGGGAGGCAGCAGUGGGGAAUAUUGCACAAUGGGCGGAAGCCUGAUGCAGCAACGCCGCGUGCGGGAUGACGGCCCUCGGGUUGUAAACCGCUUUCGCCUGUGACGAAGCGUGAGUGACGGUAAUGGGUAAAGAAGCACCGGCUAACUACGUG
rnacentral:rRNA from 1 species